rnacentral:ribozyme from 13 species
AAAGUAAAAGAAACAAAAAAGAAAUGGGAAAAAGAAAUGAAAGCGGGGAGUCGUCUCCCAACAAAAAGUGGGAGAGAUGGUUCUCUUGUUUUCUCUUCUUCUUCUUCUUCUCUUCCUUU